CCUGUAAGACUGGGAUAACUUCGGGAAACCGGAGCUAAUACCGGAUAACAUAUGAGACCACAUGGUCUUAUAUUAAAAGAUGGCUUCUCGCUAUCACUUACGGAUGGGCCCGCGGCGCAUUAGCUAGUUGGUGAGGUAACGGCUCACCAAGGCAACGAUGCGUAGCCGACCUGAGAGGGUGAUCGGCCACACUGGGACUGAGACACGGCCCAGACUCCUACGGGAGGCAGCAGUAGGGAAUCUUCCGCAAUGGACGAAAGUCUGACGGAGCAACGCCGCGUGAGCGAAGAAGGUCUUCGGAUCGUAAAGCUCUGUUGUUAGGGAAGAACAAGUAUCGUUCGAAUAGGGCGGUACCUUGACGGUACCUAACCAGAAAGCCACGGCUAACUACGUGCCAGCAGCCGCGGUAAUACGUAGGUGGCAAGCGUUAUCCGGAAUUAUUGGGCGUAAAGCGCGCGCAGGCGGUCCUUUAAGUCUGAUGUGAAAGCCCACGGCUCAACCGUGGAGGGUCAUUGGAAACUGGGGGACUUGAGUGCAGAAGAGGAGAGCGGAAUUCCACGUGUAGCGGUGAAAUGCGUAGAGAUGUGGAGGAACACCAGUGGCGAAGGCGGCUCUCUGGUCUGUAACUGACGCUGAGGCGCGAAAGCGUGGGGAGCGAACAGGAUUAGAUACCCUGGUAGUCCACGCCGUAAACGAUGAGUGCUAAGUGUUAGAGGGUUUCCGCCCUUUAGUGCUGAAGUCAACGCAUUAAGCACUCCGCCUGGGGAGUACGGUCGCAAGACUGAAACUCAAAGGAAUUGACGGGGGCCCGCACAAGCGGUGGAGCAUGUGGUUUAAUUCGAAGCAACGCGAAGAACCUUACCAGGUCUUGACAUCCUCUGACACUCCUAGAGAUAGGACGUUCCCUUCGGGGACAGAGUGACAGGUGGUGCAUGGUUGUCGUCAGCUCGUGUCGUGAGAUGUUGGGUUAAGUCCCGCAACGAGCGCAACCCUUGAUCUUAGUUGCCAGCAUUCAGUUGGGCACUCUAAGGUGACUGCCGGUGACAAACCGGAGGAAGGGGGGGAUGACGUCAAAUCAUCAUGCCCCUUAUGACCUGGGCUACAC
rnacentral:rRNA from 1 species